GAUGAACGCUAGCGGCAGGCUUAACACAUGCAAGUCGAGGGGUAACAGGGAGCUUGCUCUGCUGACGACCGGCGCACGGGUGCGUAACGCGUAUGCAACCUACCUUCUACAGGGGGAUAGUCAAUAGAAAUGUUGAAUAAUACCCCAUACGAUCUUUGAGUGGCAUUACUUAAAGAGGAAAGCUUCGGCGGUAGAAGAUGGGCAUGCGUCCUAUUAGUUAGUUGGUGAGGUAACGGCUCACCAAGACCGCGAUAGGUAGGGGCCCUGAGAGGGGGAUCCCCCACACUGGUACUGAGACACGGACCAGACUCCUACGGGAGGCAGCAGUGAGGAAUAUUGGACAAUGGAGGCAACUCUGAUCCAGCCAUGCCGCGUGCAGGAAGACUGCCCUAUGGGUUGUAAACUGCUUUUAUACAGGAAGAAACCUACUUACGUGUAAGUAGCUGACGGUACUGUAAGAAUAAGGAUCGGCUAACUCCGUGCCAGCAGCCGCGGUAAUACGGAGGAUCCAAGCGUUAUCCGGAAUCAUUGGGUUUAAAGGGUCCGUAGGUGGUUUAUUCAGUCAGAGGUGAAAUCCCAUAGCUUAACUAUGGAACUGCCUUUGAUACUGAUAGACUUGAGUUAUUGUGAAGUGGUUAGAAUGUGUAGUGUAGCGGUGAAAUGCAUAGAUAUUACACAGAAUACCGAUUGCGAAGGCAGAUCACUAACAAUAUACUGACACUGAG
rnacentral:rRNA from 1 species